UAGGGAAUCUUCCACAAUGGACGAAAGUCUGAUGGAGCAACGCCGCGUGUGUGAUGAAGGGUUUCGACUCGUAAAACACUGUUGUAAGAGAAGAAUGACAUUGAGAGUAACUGUUCAAUGUGUGACGGUAUCUUACCAGAAAGGAACGGCUAAAUACGUGCAAG
rnacentral:rRNA from 1 species